rnacentral:rRNA from 1 species
AUACCCUAUUAUUUUUAUUGUAAAUAUUGUAUGUCAGAGUAUUAAUAGUUAUGAUCUUUAAACUUAAAGAAUUUGGCGGUACUAUAUUCUGUUUAGAGGAAUCUGUUAUGUAAUUGAUAAUCCGCAUUGAACCUUACUUAUAUUAUUUCUUGUAUAUCGCUGUUUAAGAAAAUAUUAUUAGGUUAUUUUCUUAAUAAUUUAAUAGUUAAUAUUUCAAGUCAAGGUGCAGUAAUAUGUAAGUUGAAUAAUGGAUUACAAUGAAUUUUAUUUAUAUGAAUUAUUAUUGGAAUAUAAUAUGAAGGUGGAUUUAAUUGUAAUUUUAUAAAGAUUAAUAAAAUGAUUUAAAGUUCUAUAGUAUGUACACAUCGCCC